rnacentral:rRNA from 1 species
AUACGGAGGAUCCGAGCGUUAUCCGGAUUUAUUGGGUUUAAAGGGUGCGCAGGCGGCCAUUUAAGUCAGCGGUUAAAUCGUGGGGCUCAACCCCAUUCUGCCGUUGAUACUGGGUGGCUUGAUUGCGGUCGAGGUUGGCGGAAUUCGUUGUGUAGCGGUGAAAUGCAUAGAUAUGACGAAGAACUCCGAUCGCGAAGGCAGCUCACUGGACUGCAACUGACACUGAUGCUCGAAAGUGUGGGUAUCAAACAGGAUUAGGUACCCUGGUAGUCCACACAGUAAACGAUGAAUACUCGCUGUUUGCGAUAUACAGUAAGCGGCCAAGCGAAAGCAUUAAGUAUUCCACCUGGGGAGUACGCCGGCAACGGUGAAACUCAAAGGAAUUGACGGGG